rnacentral:rRNA from 1 species
AGAGAUGUGUGAUGACGCAUAUCAAUAAGCGGAGGAAAAGAAACUAACAUGGAUUCCCUUAGUAACGGCGAGUGAAGCGGGAAGAGCUCAAAUUUGAAAUCUUCAAGGUUCUACCUUGACGAAUUGUAGUUUAUAGAAGUGUUUUCUGUUAGUAGAGUGGCAAAAGUUCUUUGGAAUAGGACAUCAUAGAGGGUGAGAAUCCCGUAUUUGGUCAUUCCUUCUAGCGUUGUGAUACACUUUCAACGAGUCGGAUUGUUUGGGAAUGCAGUCCAAAAUGGGUGGUAAAUUUCAUCUAAAGCUAAAUAUUGGCGAGAGACCGAUAGCGAACAAGUACCGUGAGGGAAAGAUGAAAAGAACUUUGAAAAGAGAGUUAAACAGUACGUGAAAUUGUCAAAAGGGAAGCGUUUGACACCAGUGUUGUUUUUCCGAAAAUCAAUUACGAAUGUUUUGUUUUUAAGGAGUUAUGACUUCAUCAGCUUGCUUCUCUCUUUACGAAACUUUCUUAAUGCACUUUUCGGUUAACAAGUCAACAUCAAUUUCUUUUGUUGUAAAAGGGUAUGAGGAAGGUGGCUUUCUUUUCGGAGAAAGUGUUUAUAGCCUUGUACCUCUGCAAUCGGAGAGAUUGAGGUCUGCAGCGUAGAUCCUUCGGGGUUAGAUACAUUUGUGCUAAGUUAUAGCUUUUCAUAGACAACUUGUUGACUAUGUUAAGUCUUGUAGCUUACUCGCUUAUGCUAUUUUACCUACGCUUAGGAUGUUGAAGUCAUCGUAUCGCGC